GACACACACACAUACAGAUAAAGAUAAAAAUACACAUACAAGCACACUCCGCUCCACUCCACGCACAAUUGUAUUUUGAUUAUGCCCGGCUUGGUACGCCGCAUACCUCGGAUAUUUCUACGCACAACAAUGCCAACCCCCACCGACCCCAACUCCCAAGCCUCGAAGCCCCAACCCCACGAAUCCCAGAUCCACAUCCACAUCCAUUCCCACACCCAUUGUCAUAUCAAAUAUUUACGGAAACAAGCGAGAGAGCGAGCGAAACAAGUUCGGAUUCCGACUUUAAGAUAUGUACGAGUAUGUGGAGUACUAUUUAUCUCUUUCGAAAGUGGAAAACUAUGCAGAGAACACCACAGUUUCACGGGAAAGUGUUUUGUUGGGAUCAAUAAAAGCCAGAGAAGUCGGCGAACACAACUCAUUUGAAAGCCGAAAAUGAAGACCUUUUGUGUGGGCGCACUCGUAAUUCUUGGACUCUCUGGGGCCAUGGCAAAUAUUGGAGUAGGAUGGUCUUUCAAAAAGAAAUAAAAUGUUGCGUUCAAAAUAAAGCCCAACAGAUGCAUUUCAAGGAACGCGCUCAAUAAACCUACGACUUUGA